rnacentral:rRNA from 1 species
AAUAAACUAAAACUUUCAACAACGGAUCUCUUGGUUCUGGCAUCGAUGAAGAACGCAGCGAAAUGCGAUAAGUAAUGUGAAUUGCAGAAUUCAGUGAAUCAUCGAAUCUUUGAACGCACAUUGCGCCCCUUGGUAUUCCGAGGGGCAUGCCUGUUCGA